UAUAGUUCAGUGGUGGAACCCUUGCCUAGCAUGCAAGAGGCCCUAGGUUCAAUUCCCACUA
rnacentral:tRNA from 1 species